AGAGUUUGAUCAUGGCUCAGAACGAACGCUGGCGGCGCGUCCUAAACAUGCAAGUCGAACGAUCUGUAGCAAUACAGGGAGUGGCGGACGGGUGAGGAACACGUAGGAAUCUACCUUGAAGAGCGGGACAACUUUGGGAAACCGGGGCUAAUACCGCAUAGUACAGAGAUGUUAAAGGGCUAGCAAUAGUCGCUUCGAGAUGAGCCUGCGGUCUAUCAGCUUGUUGGUGAGGUAAUGGCUCACCAAGGCUACGACGGAUAGCCGGUCUGAGAGGAUGAUCGGCCACACUGGCACUGAGACACGGGCCAGACUCCUACGGGAGGCAGCAGUUAAGAAUCUUGCGCAAUGGGGGAAACCCUGACGCAGCGACGCCGCGUGAAGGAUGAAGGCUUUCGGGUUGUAAACUUCGGUAGACUGGGAAGAAGAAAUACGUUCGUUGAGGGCGUAUAGUGACGGUACCUGUCUGAAGCCCCGGCUAAUUACGUG
rnacentral:rRNA from 1 species